AUUCCUGCAGGCUAAAAAAGGGAGAAGACUGAAGCAGAGCAAGAGAUUCGCUCUGUUGUGGUGUUCGGUUUAUCAGAAAAGGGAGAAGCCGGGCUCUGAAGCUGUACUCUCAAAAUACAUUGACUGUUCUCCAAAUCUGAAAUGUGAAUAUAUGAUGAAGAGGCUACAAAAAGAAGGUGACACAGGUUGGGAAGAGAAAGAGGGACACCAGAAAUGAAAGUGAACGAGACACUUUUAUGGAUAUGAUUUUAGAAGAGCAGUUUCAGAAGAAAUGGUUUAUUAUUGUUCUCUUACUGACUGUCCUGUUGAGUCUGAAACCUCAUACACAAGUCUCUGAAGCUACAAGUGUCUUCAACGUCCACCAGGGUUGUAAAAGUCCAGAAAAAAUAUUGCAUCUUGGCAUUCCCUUUUCUUUCAUACUCCAUAAUUACACCAAGUACGAGGAUUAUGAAAAUAGGGCUUCUGAACUCAUACUGUAGCCAAAUUCUAAGCUUGUUUUCAAAAUCUUUUUAAUAACAUAACGACUUUGGUUUACAUGGCAAGUUAUUUUUUUUGGUGGAUCCCGGGUUUAGGAAAGGACAAAAAUCACUGAGCAGCAACUGGGAGAGAGAAUAUGUGAGAGGAACAAGCAUCAAAGUCAAAGAAGAGCUGAAUUUCUGUUCCAGGGGCCUGAGCUCGUUCCCUGUGAGGCACAGACUGUGAGGAAGAGCAUGAGGAGGCAGGCAGUCCCCAGCUGCCUGGGAGGUCCAUGAUGGAGCUGACAUCCACCUGCAGCCCCUCUUUGUCCAGUGCAGGAAAUUGCAAUAUACUUUCCAUAGAAAUG